GGUUAAGCGACUAAGCGUACACGGUGGAUGCCCUGGCAGUCAGAGGCGAUGAAGGGCGUGCUAAUCUGCGAUAAGCGCCGGUAAGGUGAUAUGAACCGUUAUAACCGGCGAUACCCGAAUGGGGAAACCCAGUGUGACUCGUCACACUAUCAUUAACUGAAUCCAUAGGUUAAUGAGGCGAACCGGGGGAACUGAAACAUCUAAGUACCCCGAGGAAAAGAAAUCAACCGAGAUUCCCCCAGUAGCGGCGAGCGAACGGGGAGGAGCCCAGAGCCUGAAUCAGCAUGUGUGUUAGUGGAAGCGUCUGGAAAGACGCGCGAUACAGGGUGACAGCCCCGUACACAAAAGCGCAUGUGUUGUGAGCUCGAUGAGUAGGGCGGGACACGUGGUAUCCUGUCUGAAUAUGGGGGGACCAUCCUCCAAGGCUAAAUACUCCUGACUGACCGAUAGUGAACCAGUACCGUGAGGGAAAGGCGAAAAGAACCCCGGCGAGGGGAGUGAAAAAGAACCUGAAACCGUGUACGUACAAGCAGUGGGAGCACCCUUUGGGGUGUGACUGCGUACCUUUUGUAUAAUGGGUCAGCGACUUAUAUUCUGUAGCAAGGUUAACCGUAUAGGGGAGCCGUAGGGAAACCGAGUCUUAACCGGGCGUUAAGUUGCAGG
rnacentral:rRNA from 1 species